rnacentral:rRNA from 1 species
CCUACGGGAGGCAGCAGUGAGGAAUAUUGGUCAAUGGCCGGAAUGCUGAACCAGCCAAGUCGCGUGAGGGAUGACGGUCCUACGGAUUGUAAACCUCUUUUGCCGGGGAGCAAGCGUGCGUUCGUGAACGCGCGUCGAGAGUACCCUGAGAACAAGCAUCGGCUAACUCCGUGCCAGCAGCCGCGGUAAUACGGGGGAUGCGAGCGUUAUCAGGAUUUAUGGGGUUUAAAGGGUGCGUAGGCGGGAUGCCAAGUCAGCGGUAAAAAUGCGGUGCUCAACGCCGUCGAGCCGUUGAAACUGGGGUUCUUGAGUGGGCGAGAAGUAUGCGGAAUGCGUGGUGUAGCGGUGAAAUGCAUAGAUAUCACGAAGAACUCCGAUUGCGAAGGCAGCAUACCGGCGCCCUACUGACGCUGAGGCACGAAAGCGUGGGUAUCGAACAGGAUUAGAUACCCCUGUAGUC